rnacentral:rRNA from 1 species
AUUAAGGUGGCUUUUGGGCUGUCGCAGAUGGAUGAGCCUGCGUUGGAUUAGCUAGUUGGUGGGGUAAGGGCUUACCAAGGCUACGAUCCAUAGCUGAUUUGAGAGGAUGAUCAGCCACAUUGGGACUGAGACACGGCCCAAACUCCUACGGGAGGCAGCAGUGAGGAAUAUUGGACAAUGGGGGCAACCCUGAUCCAGCAAUGCCAUGUGUGUGAAGAAGGCCUUAGGGUUGUAAAGCACUUUAGUUGGGGAAGAAAGCUUUGAGGUUAAUAGCCUUGAGGAAGGACGUUACCCAAAGAAUAAGCACCGGCUAACUCCGUGCCAGCAGCCGCGGUAAUACGGGGGGUGCAAGCGUUAAUCGGAAUUACUGGGCGUAAAGGGUCUGUAGGUGGUUUGUUAAGUCAGAUGUGAAAGCCCAGGGCUCAACCUUGGAACUGCAUUUGAUACUGGCAAACUAGAGUACGGUAGAGGAAUGGGGAAUUUCUGGUGUAGCGGUGAAAUGCGUAGAGAUCAGAAGGAACACCAAUGGCGAAGGCAACAUUCUGGACCGAUACUGACACUGAGGGACGAAAGCGUGGGGAUCAAACAGGAUUAGAUACCCUGGUAGUCCAUGCUGUAAACGAUGAGUACUAGCUGUUGGAGUCGGUGUAAAGGCUCUAGUGGCGCAGCUAACGCGAUAAGUACUCCGCCUGGGGACUACGGCCGCAAGGCUAAAACUCAAAGGAAUUGACGGGGACCCGCACAAGCGGUGGAGCAUGUGGUUUAAUUCGAUGCAACGCGAAGAACCUUACCUGGUCUUGACAUCCUGCGAGCUUUCUAGAGAUAGAUUGGUGCCUUCGGGAACGCAGUGACAGGUGCUGCACGGCUGUUGUCAGCUCGUGUUGUGAAAUGUUGGGUUAAGUCCCGCAACGAGCGCAACCCCUAUUGAUAGUUACCAUCAUUAAGUUGGGUACUCUAUUGAGACUGCCGCUGACAAGGCGGAGGAAGGUGGGGACGACGUCAAGUCAUCAUGGCCCUUACGACCAGGGCUACCACGUGCUACAAUGGGUAUUACAGAGGGCUGCGAAAGAGCAUCUGGAC